rnacentral:rRNA from 1 species
CAACCCCUGUGAACAUACCUAUAACGUUUGCCUCGGCGGGAACAGACGGCCCCGUAACACGGGCCGCCCCCGCCAGAGGACCCCCUAACUCUGUUUCUAUAAUGUUUCUUCUGAGUAAACAAGCAAAUAAAUUAAAACUUUCAACAACGGAUCUCUUGGCUCUGGCAUCGAUGAAGAACGCAGCGAAAUGCGAUAAGUAAUGUGAAUUGCAGAAUUCAGUGAAUCAUCGAAUCUUUGAACGCACAUUGCGCCCGCCAGUAUUCUGGCGGGCAUGCCUGUUCGAGCGUCAUUACAACCCUCAGGCCCCCGGGCCUGGCGUUGGGGAUCGGCGGAAGCCCCCUGCGGGCACAACGCCGUCCCCCAAAUACAGUGGCGGUCCCGCCGCAGCUUCCAUUGCGUAGUAGCUAACACCUCGCAACUGGAGAGCGGCGCGGCCACGCCGUAAAACACCCAACUUCUGAAUGUUGACCUCGAAUCAGGUAGGAAUACCCGCUGAACUUAAGCAUAUCAAUAAGCGGAGGAA